AGAUUUGAUCAUGGCUCAGGACGAACGCUGGCGGCGUGCCUAACACAUGCAAGUCUACGGGAAAUCUCCUGCUUGCAGGAGAGAGUAUAGUGGCGAACGGGUGAGUAACGCGUAGGUAAUCUACCUCUGGGUUGGGGAUAACCUCGAGAAAUCGGGGCUAAUACCGAAUGAUGUCCUACCUAUUAGUUUAGGUAGGAUUAAAGAUGGCUUCGGCUAUCGCCCAGAGAUGAGCCUGCGUCCCAUUAGCUAGUUGGUAGGGUAAUGGCCUACCAAGGCGACGAUGGGUAGCCGGCCUGAGAGGGUGGUCGGCCACACUGGCACUGAGACACGGGCCAGACUCCUACGGGAGGCAGCAGUGAGGAAUAUUGGGCAAUGGCCGCAAGGCUGACCCAGCGACGCCGCGUGAGGGAAGAAGCUCUACGGAGUGUAAACCUCUGUUAGGAGGGACGAAAGGCACCGAUGUGAAUAAUAUCGGUGAGAUGACGGUACCUCCAGAGAAAGCCCCGGCUAACUCCGUGCCAGCAGCCGCGGUAAUACGGGGGGGGCGAGCGUUGUCCGGAAUCACUGGGCGUAAAGGGCACGUAGGCGGACAAGUAAGUCGAAGGUGAAAUCCUAUCGCUUAACGAUAUGGACUGCCUUCGAUACUGCUUGUCUUGAGUGCGGGAGAGGGAGGCGGAAUUCCCGGUGUAGCGGUGAAAUGCGUAGAUAUCGGGAAGAACACCAGUAGCGAAGGCGGCUUCCUAACCCGUAACUGACGCUGAAGUGCGAAAGCGUGGGGAGCGAACAGGAUUAGA
rnacentral:rRNA from 1 species